UUCUUGAUAGCUUAAUUUUAAAGUAAGGUUUUGAAGUGACUUUGAUGGAUUUCCUUAAGAUG
rnacentral:tRNA from 1 species